rnacentral:rRNA from 1 species
GUGGGGAAUUUUGGACAAUGGGCGCAAGCCUGAUCCAGCAAUGCCGCGUGCAGGAAGAAGGCCUUCGGGUUGUAAACUGCUUUUGUACGGAACGAAACGGUCCUGGUUAAUACCUGGGGCUAAUGACGGUACCGUAAGAAUAAGCACCGGCUAACUACGUGCCAGCAGCCGCGGUAAUACGUAGGGUGCGAGCGUUAAUCGGAAUUACUGGGCGUAAAGCGUGCGCAGGCGGUGCUGUAAGACAGGCGUGAAAUCCCCGGGCUCAACCUGGGAAUUGCGCUUGUGACUGCAGUGCUGGAGUACGGCAGAGGGGGAUGGAAUUCCGCGUGUAGCAGUGAAAUGCGUAGAUAUGCGGAGGAACACCGAUGGCGAAGGCAAUCCCCUGGGCCUGCACUGACGCUCAUGCACGAAAGCGUGGGGAGCAAACAGGAUUAGAAACCCCAGUAGUCC